rnacentral:rRNA from 1 species
UACGGGGGGGGCAAGCGUUGUUCGGAAUUACUGGGCGUAAAGGGCUCGUAGGCGGCCAACUAAGUCGGACGUGAAAUCCCCAGGCUCAACCUGGGAACUGCGUCUGAUACUGGAUGGCUUGAAUCCGGGAGAGGGAUGCAGAAUUCCAGGUGUAGCGGUGAAAUGCGUAGAUAUCUGGAGGAAUACCAGUGGCGAAAGCGGCCAACUGGACGAAUACUGACGCUGAGACACGAAAGCGUGGGGAGCAAACAGG